rnacentral:pre_miRNA from 15 species
CUCCGCUGGGGGCGGUCAGGCCUGCCCGACACUCUUUCCCUGUUGCACUCCUGUGGGUCGCGGGGGCAGUGCAAUGAUGAAAGGGCAUUGGUCAGGCUCCCACCGGCCUCUUCACCCC